rnacentral:rRNA from 1 species
GACGAACGCUGGCGGCGUGCCUAAUACAUGCAAGUCGAACGCUGAAGAGAGGAGCUUGCUCUUCUUGGAUGAGUUGCGAACGGGUGAGUAACGCGUAGGUAACCUGCCUUGUAGCGGGGGAUAACUAUUGGAAACGAUAGCUAAUACCGCAUAACAAUGGAUGACACAUGUCAUUUAUUUGAAAGGGGCAAUUGCUCCACUACAAGAUGGACCUGCGUUGUAUUAGCUAGUAGGUGAGGUAAUGGCUCACCUAGGCGACGAUACAUAGCCGACCUGCGAGGGUGAUCGGCCACACUGGGACGGGGACACGGCCCAGACUCCUACGGGAGGCAGCAGUAGGGAAUCUUCGGCAAUGGGGGCAACGCUGACCGAGCAACGCCGCGUGAGUGAAGAAGGUUGUCGGGUCGUAAAGCUCUGUUGUAAGUCAAGAACGGGUGUGAGAGUGGAAAGUUCACACUGUGACGGUAGCUUACCAGAAAGGGACGGCUAACUACGUG